UAGAAGCUCGAGCAGUCAGGCGUACUGGAAUGUGCUGUGACAAGGAGAGGUUGAACGCAGAGCAAGUGAAUGCAGAAACAAAGCGAGAUAAAAGCUCACGAAAAAUCCACAGGUCACCAUCUCGCUCAACUCAAAGCAAAAGUUCAAUAUCCCAGAGAAACAGUGCAACUGUCCCAGACACGUGAAUACUGCCAUCUGAUGAAAGACCUCAUUUAGGAGGCAAGACCUUUGCAGUUUCCUGUUGAUAGUGGAUCACAGCUGGAGGUCAAAGGUCAUCAGUAUGUACUGAUGGAGAAGAUCAGCGUGGAUUUGAAGAUGUGGGGGAGGUGAAAGAGGAGUAUGUUUGGGAGUUCUCACGUGACUUCACUCUACUCGUGUUAAUCAAGUUCAGCUACACACAAGCACACUACGGCCUGGAUCGCAUUGGACACGCAGAUAAUGUAAAGAAUGAAACCAGUAGGGGUGAAGCAGAAGAAAAGAACCAGAUCAAAGAGAGAAUGAAAGUAUGACAGAUU
ensembl:lncRNA